rnacentral:lncRNA from 10 species
AGAAGACCUGAUGACACAAACCCUCCAAAGAGUUUCACCCUCACCACAACAGGUGGCUUCCUGCUCGGCAGCCCAUCCUGCAUCACUUCAGUGGACUUCUCUGACAUCUACUAGACCACAUUAAAUGAAUCACAGCCUUGAAACUGAACUGGAAGGACUUCCUUCAAGGAGCCAGCAUAUGAACUUGCUGCCUAUCUUUAGCAAGGAGAUGCAAAUGACAUCCACAAACCUCUUCUGCUGUAUACCUGGAUGAAAGCAAGGCUAGCUGUGUGUCCUAUGGCACCAAGGACUGAAAGAUUGUAAGAAGUAAGAAAUGCUUUGGUAAUUCUGUUUCUCAAGCCUGCACAUCACGAGCAAACAAGUAUGCUUAUGGGUGUCUUAGCCCAGUAGGCUGUUUAUCAGAAAGCUACCAGUCCCC